rnacentral:tRNA from 1 species
CUGGCCGGAAGUUUGUUCGUUCAAGCCUCAAUGCAGACCCCAGGCAUCGCCAUUGGUGGUGGUGGUUCUGCA